ACCCUUGCUCCCGUAAACCCGUCUUCUCUUCUUCUUCAAAAUUUGGUAAAGUGCGACGAGAGCCACCAUCAACUCUGUGCGAAACCUUGUGCGUUUGGCCUUCUCCUCUACGGCGUUCUUCCUUUGCGGCGAGAGCCACCAUCAGCGCCACCGAUUCUCUUAUCUGCGGAGAUCGAGAACAACCAUCUUCGUCUCUGAGUCGGAAGAAAUCGACGAAGUGCGACGAGAACCCAACCAAUUCUCAUCACGUGGAUAAAGAGGGGUUGAGUGUGUUGGCUGGAAACCUUAUUCUCCUCUUGCUCUCCAAUGAUAACCCUCUUUAUCACAAUACCCCUCUCUUCUUCUCAUUAUUGAUUAGGUGUUGAGUAUUUUUUCUUCUCUUCAUGUUAGAUGCUAGAAAUAAAGGGUCCUUUAGUCUUGCUUGAUUCUUUUAUUUGAUGCAUUAUUUCGUUUGCUGAAGUCAGUGUCUGUUUUAGUUUGGUGAUGCUCAAUUUGGGCUUGGAUCCUGAUUUGGAGGAUUCUCUUCUGCAUAUCUAGAUCUCCUUUGCCAUUGUUACUUGUUUGUUUUUGUGAUUUCAAUACUUUUCAGUUCAGUUUCAGCUCCUGUAUGAAUGAACAAGUUUAAAUUAAAAAAAUAUUAUGUCCUUUUAAGAAGAUUUCAGGAAGCUUUGGGCUUUUGUUUAUCUCUAUAUCUGGGAGUGUUUGGAGGGCUAGUCUAUUGCUAUAUUCUUAUGUUGCUGGAUGCAGAGAAGUAAGGGAGAGGAUACCCAUUGUCAUCUACUUUCAGUACUGAAAAAGGUAGACUCUUCCUUUACUUUUCUUUAGUUAUGUUUUCAGUAUUUUGUGUUGGAGUUGUUAUCUUUAUAUUUUCUUUUUACUUAUAUGAUUAUUUAAAACUGAUUAAUAUUCUCUUGGUUUAAGAGACCCUUGGAGUGGUGGAGGGUAUUCCACCUCUUUUUAUUUGCUCAUUUUCUCCAAUAAUCAUUGCCUGUAAUAGAGUAUUUUUUAUUGAAUGCUAAGAGCUUUUAUCAAGGUCCAAUGUGAUAGCUAGCUAAUUAUGUUUGUGGGUUGCAGUUUGCUAAAGAAUAUAUCAAAAAGUAUAGUGAAUGUGUAACUGUUAAAACAAAUCACAAUGACAGUUAUGUAUGUUGUGCUCUUUUUAUUAUGUGGUGGUAAUGUUUGUUACACAUGUAAGUAGUAUGUAACCUCUCAUAAGUCUCAUUAUCAUUUCUCUUUUCUCUUUUCCUUUUAUUUAUCAUAAGUCUCUUUAUGUUUAUGCAGUUUGAUACUACAUUAGUUGUCUAAGAUAUGUAAGUAAAAUUUCUUCCACUUUCUUCCAGUUUGAUACUACAGUUUGCUGAAGAAUAUAUCAGAAAGCAUAGUGAAUAUUGUAGCAAAAGAAAAGGUCCAAAUUAAUACUAUAUAAUAUUUUAUCCUCUUUUUCUUUCCUUAUUUCUGUGUUUUAUGAACAGGUGCUCAUCACUAAACCUAAGGUUCUCAACUAAGAAAAUCCAGAGUGGCUAAAGGUGGUAAGGGAUCAAGAGGUAGCAUUUUUAUGCUGUCAACUUUCACUCUAUUUAUGUGAAAUAGUUAUUUCAGGGAUCCUUUUCUUUCUUCCUAGUUUCUAUAUCUACUGCAGUUUUUUCUUUGUGCCUAAAGCUCUAUUCUCUGGAAAUUUAUCUAUUAAUUCCAUGAAAAGGGAUUAGAAGGGCUUUUAAUUUUAAAAGAUGAUUAUCCUAGAAACUCAAAGGCUACUCCUCCUACAUGUUGUGUCUACAAGGUGUGUAAUAGCAUCAUGCUCACAACUGGCAAUUAGUUUGGCCACUGAUAAAUGCCUGCAAGGCCAAUGGUUUGCAUUAUAUCCAGUCCCCUUGUUGAGGGUGACAUGCUCCCAUGACUCUCAGUCAGCAUCCGAUUUCAUAGUUUUAUGAGUUUGCGUCAGGGAUUUCUUCAACCGGGGGAAGGUGCUUGGAUACAGGGCAGCAGCUUAUGUAUCCCAAGGGAAUAACCAUGGCCACCUUUCAUAUGGGGAAUGAUCAUGUUGAGAAUUGGGCUGAUUUAGGCAUGGCAGACAAUAACCAACAAAUUAAUGAUACUUGCACAUAUAUUGAUACUGAUGAUAAAAUCCAUUGCAACAGAGUUAAUAACGAGACACAUAUGGUUUACCACUUCAAGGAUCAGAUGAAGUCCAAUCCUGAAGAUCAGAAGGUUUUUAUUUUUUAUCAGGUCCAAGUCCAACUGCUUGUAGCUACUGAUUGUGUGUUCCAUAAGUGAUGGAUUAUUUGUAUUGUUUACUCUUAUACAUUAAUAUAGUUGUCCACUUAAGUUACAUGUGGAUUUGAAUCUUGAGAUGGUUGGUCAGAGAUGUUAACUUUUUAAAUACUAGAGAUGUUAUCCACUAGUUAUUCAUUCUUAGUUAUC